AUGGUUUCUGAUAGUAACUUUUUCAUCAAUAUCCUCUUGAGGGAGUGUGGUGAUGUAUUUCUUGGCAUAAACUCACUUAUUGAUGUUGCGGGAGGACACGGUGGAGCUGCUAGGGCAAUUGCUAUGUCGUUCCCCCAGAUGAAAUGCACUGUGUUGGAUCUCCCUCAUGUGGUUGCUGGAGCUCCCAGUGAUGCCCAUGUGUCAUUUAUUUCUGGCAAUAUGUUUAAGUACAUUCCACCGGCGGAUGCUCUUUUCCUGAAGUGCAUUUUUCACGAUUGGUGUGAUGAAGACUGUGUCAAGCUACUGAAGAAUUGCAAGGAAGCUAUCCCUCCCAGAGAUGCUGGUGGAAAGGUGAUAAUCGUUGAUAUGGUGGUUGGAUCUGGGCCAGAUGACAUUGUAACAAGAGAGACACAGGUUUUCUAUGAUCUCUUUAUCAUGGGUGCUGAGGGGAUUGAGCGANNNGAAUUUGAGUGGAAGAAGAUAUUUAUGGAAGCUGGGUUCAGCGAUUACAAAAUUCUAUGAGUGCUGGGAGUUAGAUCUGUUAUUGAGCUCUACCCUUGA
rnacentral:rRNA from 1 species